rnacentral:rRNA from 1 species
CGCCUGUUUAUCAAAAACAUAGCCAUUAGAUGAUACUAUAUGGUUUUACCUGCCCAAUGUUACGAUGAAUGGCCGCGGUACCCUGACCGUGCUAAGGUAGCGUAAUCAGUUGACCUUUAAAUGAGGUCAGGAAUGAAUGGAAUAACCGGGUUUAGCUGUCUCCAAACCAUUAUAUUGAAUUUACUAUCUAAGUGAAAAAGCUUAGGAUUUAAAAAAGGAGGAGAAGACCCUUAGAAUUUUUUUAAAAAGGAACAUAUUUUCCUUACAGUUUUAUUGGGGCGAUAAAGAAAUAAUUAAAACUUUCUUUUUUAACAAGCCGAUUGUAUUAAGUAAGAAUAAAUUACCUGAGGGAUAACAGCAUAAUUCUAUAACUGAGUUUGUGACCUCGAUGUUGGACUAGGAAACCAGUAGGCUAGCCGUUUACUGUGUUAGGUUCUGUUCGAACUUUUAUUCCU